rnacentral:lncRNA from 1 species
UUCGGCCGUCUCUAUGCAGCUUAGCAUUUCUUUCUUGUCUGUCGUCGAAAUUCCGCUAGCGGUCUGGCUGGCGAGAUGCUGCUUGCUGUCAAGGCUUGUCUCGAUGCUGCUGCUUGCUGAAUUCCGAGGGUGAUUAGUGAUCUUGGCAGGGGGAGAAUUGGUGUUUUGUUUAGCUAGUUCAGUUUAAGGAGGAGUGCGUAUGUAGGAGAUCUUCAGUGCUUUGUCUUAUAUCACCAUUCACGUGGGUGAAGCAUAAUCUAGUCUGUAUCAUGAAAGGUUAAUUUUGCUACCGCUGGUUGGAUUUUGGGGCCUGCAACAGUUUACAUCUAGACAUUUUUCUCCAUUUUUGCAUUUUAUUUUUACAUCAUCUCCGUUUGCCUGUAUAUAUACCUAGAUGUGCUAAUAAUCAGUUUGAUUGUAUCAUUUCAACUAGUUAAAAUUGUCCCAGUUCAUCUAGUUAAAUUGUCUUAGUUCCACUAUAUUUACUCUGCCAAGAAAAGUCAAAAUAUUAGUUAAUCAUGCUUCCAUUUCCUGCAAACAAAAAAUGGUCUCUGAAGAUUAUGUCUUUCCCCUUGCAUAAUAACACAUGGAAUUACUUCUACAAACCCGGUUAGUGUGAGCGACAAAAUGGAAAUCAAAGUACAUAAGGAAAAGAAUUCUGCACCGUGUAUCAACCACCAAGCCACUCACAUUUGUUAAAGAUGGACUUCUAUCGCAUAAACAACAAUAUCGGGCAUUCAGGAUCUUGUCCAUCGUCCUUGAAUCAUUAAAUCACACACACACAUGCUAGUAGGUAGCCCUCUUAAAAAGUGAGUUUAUUCCUACAUAUAUGUACUAGUGACACUACUCUUGCAUAAAAUUUCUCCUUUCGCAAAAAGUAGUUUGUGCAAAAAAGAAGCAAAAGUCAUGUUUACCUGGUCUGCAAAAAUGAUGCUUGCUAGGUGUUUGUUCUAAUGCCUAUGUGAACAGAACACUUUUAUUUCUUGUUUUCUUUAUACUGAGAAGAAAACUUGUGAAGGUUUAGGGAAACAGAAGGGCUCACCAACAAAAGCCACUAAAAGUGUUUAGAAUAAUAUUGGGGAGGAUCAAGUGCAAGAAUACAAAAAGUUUAGAGUUGAGAAAGCGGAACUAGAAAAGUUCAUAGGCCUCUCCUGUUCAUAAACGCAUGCCGCUGGCCACUAGAGAUGUGCGGCCGCCAUUGCCCAUCCAAAAUCACAGUGCCUAUCGAGUUUCUUUGUCAAAAGCUUGCAUCGAUGGCUAACUCCGUACUAUUACUUUACCUACUAUUAUGCUAAUGUUGUACUGGUGCUCUUGCUUAUUAAGGCAUGCAUCAAUAGUCAAUCUUGAACUCGAUGUGCUAUUCUAUGUUCGGGGACUGGAGCGUUUCUUUAAUGGACGUGUUCUUUGGCUGAGGAUGUCAACGUUAUGUUGUUUUCAUACUUUCAACAAAAAUAUCUAUAAGUUCAAAAUGUAUAACCCUAUAAGUUCAUUGAAAAACAGAAACAAAAAAAAUAGUGCAUGAGCAAGUAGCCGCCCCGCACUAGACAUCAACGUUAUGAUGUUUUCAUACUUUCAGCUCACAUUGUAGCUUUUUUUCAGUUCAAUGGAUUCCAAAAAGGAAAAAACUGUGGAUGGGUGAUGAAUCAACUUCCUAUACUGUUGUGCCAUGAGCAUUGGACGACCCCGACCACCGGCACCACUGCUUCCCGACCUCCUGCUUGCAUCGCCAUCUCCCGGUGGGGCUCUGCCGCUGGAGCACCCUGGCCGUUCACAGCCACCACUCCAGGCCGGUCAACGCCACCACCCCAGGCUGUUCAUUGCCAGCAGCACCCUGGAUCCCACCCCUCACCCUAGGAUUUUUAGUUAUCGAGUGAGUUAAAGUCCAACUUGAGCUUUCAGUCCAUGUGUCGUUUGCUGUUGUGGCCGGUCUCCAGGUACAUAGUGAUGUUCCUAUUCAUGCAUCUAGUGCUGCUCCGUUAAAUCACUUGUUCAUCUUGUUUGUUCCAACCACGCUGGAUGCCUAGUACUAGUAGCUUGCACUAGCCUAUACAUGAGCAUCUCAAGCCGUUGUUAAUAGAUGUGAGUAGUACUGAUUGUUUUGAUUGAGUUGGCGUCUCAGAUUAUACUGGAGCAUGUGUUUUCACAAAGAGUUUAGGUUCCAGAUUGCCAAAAGUUCGAAGAUAGUGAGAUGCAUGGGAAGCUACCAGACAGAGAUGAUAUUGGACAAAGGGCUGCACAACCGUCCAAGUCGAGCACAUACAACAGUCCAAGGUGACGCAUGAUCACUGAUAGAUUCUACAUCUUUUUAUUAGUAUGAUAAUUCAGCCCACACACCACGCACCACAUCCCGAGCCCCGAUCCAGCGCCGCCCCUGCUUCCAUCCGCCGCCGCCGCCGCCGUCGCUAGUCCCCUGCCCAGCGCGCGGGGGCCCUUCGCGUCCCAUCUCCGGCGACGAGCCGCCCCUGCUGGACCCCGAGCGCGGCCGCCCCUCCGACUAUGCCGACUUCGUCAGUCCGUCAGUUCGCCAGUGGGAACCGCAAGUCAGGACCCCAUCUUCCACCCCGCCUCCCACCUCCCGGCCGCCGCGCGCCUCCCACCCUCCGGCCGCCGCGCACCUCCCUUCCCCGACACCGCGCGCCUCCCACCUCCCGGCCGCCGCGCGCCUCCGUUCCCCGGCUGCCGCGCGCCUCCCUUCCCCGGCCACCGCGCGCCUCCCUUCCCCUGCCGCCGCACACUGUCGACGGCGGCGCGCCUCAUUUCAUCUCUCCAUGGCUCCGUGCUCACCUCGACGGUGCCGUGGAUGCAGUGGUGCUACUGCAUCGCCUCCUUCCCGUGCUUACAGGUUGGCCUCCUCCUUAGCCACUUCUGCCCCGAGGAGGACAACAUCCAGCACAGACCGUUCACCGCCACUACCCCGGGCAGUUCACCACUGUCACCCUCGGCCAUUAACCCCCGCUCCCGACUUCCCUUCCAUUCCUCAGGUACGUGCACCGCACCCAGUCCGCCCAAUUCGGCCGUCUCUAUGCAGCUUAGCAUUUCUUUCUUGUCUGUCGUCAAAAUUCCGCUAGCGGUCUGGCUGGCGAGAUGCUGCUUGCUUUCAAGGCUUGUCUCGAUGCUACUGCUUGCUGAAUUCUGAGAGCGAUUAGUGAUCUUGGCAGGGGGAGAAUUGGUGUUUUGUUUAGCCAGUUCUGUUUAAGGAGGAGUGCGUAUGUAGGAGAUCUUCAGUGCUUUGUCUUAUAUCACCAUUCACGUGGGUGAAGCAUAAUCUAGUCUGUAUCAUGAAAGGUUAAUUUUGCUACCGCUGGUUGGAUUUUGGGGCCUGCAACAGUUUACAUCUAGACAUUUUUCUCCAUUUUUGCAUUUUAUUUUUACAUCAUCUCCGUUUGCCUGUAUAUAUACCUAGAUGUGCUAAUAAUCAGUUUGAUUGUAUCAUUUCAACUAGUUAAAAUUGUCUCAGUUCAUCUAGUUAAAUUGUCUU